UUAAGUGUGUUCCCCAUCGCAGAGAUGUGAUGGGGGCACACUGCUACUCUUCUCUCUCACGAGAGCGAGAGCCCCCAAAACACCAUGCGUGAUACACUAGUAACUAGCCAAAAAAAGAGAAACAACUUUUAACAAUGGAUCUCUUGGCUCUUGCAACGAUGAAGAACGCAGCAAAAUGCGAAAAGUAUUGUGACAUGCAAUCUUCGUGAAUCAUCCAAUUUUUGAACGCACCUUGCACCGACAGGCUCUCGCUUGUCGGUAUACUUGUUUGAGCAUCGACCCCUCUCUGCCUCUUUUCUGGUGGUGUGCGCGAGCACGCUUGCCAGUCUAGUCAAAGCAGGACCUGGUCUCCUUGAGCGCCGAGCGCGCACAAGCGGGCUGAAAUGCAGCCAGCGCACCGAGCGCGCACAUGGGAUAACACAACACAUCCAUACAUGGGCGCGGGCGAGUGCGGCGGAGGGAGUUUUUGAAGAGGAGGGAUCACUCUCUCACUCUCUCGAGGCGCCCGACACACGUAUAACCGAUCUCAAAUCAAGUAGGAAUACCCGCUGAACUUAAGCAUAUCAAU
rnacentral:rRNA from 1 species